ACGGAGAGUUUGAUCCUGGCUCAGGACGAACGCUGGCGGCGCGCCUCAUACAUGCAAGUCGAACGAGAUCCAUGGGAGCUUGCUCCCGGAAGAUCGAGUGGCGAACGGGUGAGUAACACGUGAGAAACCUACCCUGGAGUGGGGAAUAACCCGAGGAAACUCGGGCUAAUACCGCAUACCUUCCGAUGACCGCAUGGUCGACGGAAGAAAGAAUUUCGCUCUGGGAGGGUCUCGCGGCCUAUCAGCUAGUUGGCGGGGUAACGGCCCACCAAGGCAACGACGGGUAGCUGGUGUGAGGGAACGAUCAGCCACACUGGAACUGAGACACGGUCCAGACUUCUACGGGAGGCAGCAGUAGGGAAUCUUGCGCAAUGGGCGAAAGCCUGACGCAGCGACGCCGCGUGCGGGAUGACAGCCCUAGUGGUUGUAAACCGCUUUCAGCAGGGACGAAAAUGACGGUACCUGCAGAAGAAGUCCCGGCUAACUACGUGCCAGCAGCCGCGGUAAUACGUAGGGGACAAGCGUUGUCCGGAUUCAUUGGGCGUAAAGAGCUCGUAGGCGGUUCAGUAAGUUGGGUGUGAAAGCUCCGGGCGCAACCCGGAGAGGCCACUCAAUACUGCUGUGACUAGAGUCCAGUAGAGGAGCGUGGAACUCCUGGUGUAGCGGUGAAAUGCGCAGAUAUCAGGAAGAACACCGGCAGCGAAGGCGGCGCUCUGGGCUGGUACUGACGCUGAGGAGCGAAAGCAUGGGUAGCAAACAGGAUUAGAUACCCUGGUAGUCCAUGCUGUAAACGAUGAGUACUAGCUGUUGGAUCUGGUGUAAAAGAUUUAGUGGCGCAGCUAACGCAUUAAGUACCCCGCCUGGGGAGUACGGCCGCAAGGCUAAAACUCAAAGAAAUUGACGGGGGCCCGCACAAGCGGCGGAGCAUGUGGAUUAAUUCGAUGCAACGCGAAGAACCUUACCUGGGUUUGACAUGCACAGGACGACUGCAGAGAUGUGGUUUCCCUUGUGGCCUGUGUGCAGGUGGUGCAUGGCUGUCGUCAGCCCGUGUCGUGAGAGGUUGGGUUAAGUCCCGCAAUGAGCGCAACCCGUGGCUUAUGUUGCCAGCGCGUAGUGGCGGGGACUCGUGAGAGACUGCCGGGGUCAACUCGGAGGAAGGUGGGGAUGACGUCAAGUCAUCAUGCCCCUUAUGUCCAGGGCUUCACGCAUGCUACAAUGGCUGGUACAGAGAGUGGCGAGCCUGUGAGGGUGAGCGAAUCUCGGAAAGCCGGUCUCAGUUCGGAUUGGGGUCUGCAACUCGACCUCAUGAAGUCGGAGUCGCUAGUAAUCGCAGAUCAGCAACGCUGCGGUGAAUACGUUCCCGGGGCUUGUACACACCGCCCGUCAAGUCAUGAAAGUUGGUAACACCCGAAGCCGGUGGCCUAACCGUUGUGGGGGAGCCGUCGAAGGUGGGACUGGUGA
rnacentral:rRNA from 1 species